rnacentral:lncRNA from 1 species
GUAAGAUAAGAAAAUGAAAAAAUAUACAGCGCUAACAUCAGAACCAGACAGCAACGUAGACCAAGCUGCUGUAUACUUUGGGAAAAUUUAGAAAAAACAUUGUCAACAAAUAUCCUGGCUGUAGAGUUAACGUCCUUGAAAUACCAGUCUACUCAAUCUUAAAGGAAUAGGAAAAAACCUAGAAGCACAAACAUACAAACUGAAUGAGAAGAUCAGAAAUCUAAAAAAGGAUGAAUUAAUAUACUCGCCAUUAUUUACAUCUGACAUCAUCCAUAAUAAAAAAUAAAAAAAGAACUAGGACACCACCAACAAGAAAAACAUUCAGUGUUGGGCUAUACGCUGACGGGAUACACUCAGGACCA